AUGCCAUUUUUUUUGUUUUAUCUUUCCACACUUUUUUAUUUGCGCUUUUUUGUUAUAUUAAUGGAGUCAGAAUUUUUUUCUAUUAAUUUGGAUAUGAUACGUCCUUUGCUGUUAAGUUUUUUUUUUUUUAUUUUAUUUUUAAAACAAUUAUUAAAAACGAAAAGAGAGUUAGUGAGGUUUUUGGUUUGGGGCUGGCGUGAUUUUGUUUGCGCACCCCAUCUUAAUGGGCCUUAUUGCCAAUUACACUGA